rnacentral:rRNA from 1 species
GAUGAACGCUGGCGGCGUGCCUAAUACAUGCAAGUCGAGCGAACAGAUGAGGAGCUUGCUCCUCUGACGUUAGCGGCGGACGGGUGUGUAACACGUGGAUAACCUACCUAUAAGACUGGGAUAACUUCGGGAAACCGGAGCUAAUACCGGAUAAUAUAUUUAACCGCAUGGUUCAAUAGUGAAAUACGGUUUUGCUGUCACUUAUAGAUGGAUCCGCGCCGCAUUAGCUAGUUGGUAAGGUAACGGCUUACCAAGGCAACGAUGCGUAGCCGACCUGAGAGGGUGAUCGGCCACACUGGAACUGAGACACGGUCCAGACUCCUACGGGAGGCAGCAGUAGGGAAUCUUCCGCAAUGAGCGAAAGCCUGACGGAGCAACGCCGCGUGAGUGAUGAAGGUCUUCGGAUCGUAAAACUCUGUUAUUAGGGAAGAACAAAUGUGUAAGUAACUAUGCACGUCUUGACGGUACCUAAUCAGAAAGCCACGGCUAACUACGUG